rnacentral:tRNA from 1 species
UGCCUCGUAGCGUAAUUGGUAGCGCGUCUGGUUCUGACCCAGAAGGCUGUAGGUUCGAGCCCUACCGAGGCAGCCA